AAGUCGUAACAAGGUCUCCGUAGGUGAACCUGCGGAGGGAUCAUUAACACGUAUCCAAACGUUUACCCCCCAAUUGUGAUUUUAGUCCUACGUGAAAGGUCGUCUGGCGGUAUAGGUGUAAAGGACUGUAUAGAAUCAGCCUCCGUCAGGCGUGUACGUUGUGCAGUAAGCGCUCCCGACAGAUCGUAGCGUAACCAAAAGCACCGGUUGCUAGGGCACCAUUGGCGUGGUCAUUAGGGCACCAUUCCUUAACAGUAUCUAAUCCUUUGGGUUCUAGUAGCCUUAUUAACAAAAACCACUAAAACUCAAUUACUGAACGGGCUUGUGACCGAAAGGUGCAGGCUACUACGAAAAACGAACAACUCUUAGCAACGGAUAUCUUGGUUCUCGUACCGAUGAAGAAUGCAGC
rnacentral:misc_RNA from 1 species